rnacentral:rRNA from 1 species
UACGUAGGGGGCAAGCGUUGUCCGGAUUUAUUGGGCGUAAAGAGCGUGUAGGCGGCCAUGCAGGUCCGUUGUGAAAACUCGAGGCUCAACCUCGAGACGCCGAUGGAAACCGCAUGGCUAGAGUCCGGAAGAGGAGAGUGGAAUUCCUGGUGUAGCGGUGAAAUGCGCAGAUAUCAGGAGGAACACCGGUGGCGAAGGCGGGUCUCUGGGCCGAAACUGACGCUGAGGAGCGAAAGCGUGGGGAGCGAACAGG